AUUGAACGCUGGCGGAAUGCUUUACACAUGCAAGUCGAACGGCAGCACGGACUUCGGUCUGGUGGCGAGUGGCGAACGGGUGAGUAAUGUAUCGGAACGUGCCCAGUCGUGGGGGAUAACGUAGUGAAAAUUACGCUAAUACCGCAUACGAUCUAUGGAUGAAAGCGGGGGAUCGCAAGACCUUGCGCGAUUGGAGCGGCCGAUAUCAGAUUAGGUAGUUGGUGGGGAAAGGCCCACCAAGCCAACGAUCUGUAGCUGGUCUGAGAGGACGACCAGCCACACUGGAACUGAGACACGGUCAGACUCCUACGGGAGGCAGCAGUGGGGAAUUUUGGACAAUGGGCGAAAGCCUGAUCCAGCCAUUCCGCGUGCAGGAUGAAGGCCCUCGGGUUGUAAACUGCUUUUGUACAGAACGAAAAGGUUUCUACUAAUACUAGGAGCUCAUGACGGUACUGUAAGAAUAAGCACCGGCUAACUACGUGCCAGCAGCCGCAGUAA
rnacentral:rRNA from 1 species